rnacentral:sRNA from 1 species
UCAACACUACAAUAAGCCUUAUCUAUA